AGGUCAGAAGGGACCUCUAGAGAUCAUCCAGUCCAACCCCCUCUGCUCAAACAGGGUUACCUAGAGCGCAUUGCCCAGGAUUGUGUCCAGAUGUCUUUUGGACAUCUACAAGGAUGGAAACUCCACAACCAGCCUGGGCAGCCUCUUCCAGUGUUCAGUCACCA